rnacentral:rRNA from 1 species
GACGAACGCUGGCGGCGUGCCUAAUACAUGCAAGUAGAACGCAGUUGCGAACGGGUGAGUAACGCGUAGGUAACUGCCUCAUAGCGGGGGAUAACUAUUGGAAACGAUCUCUAAUACCGCAUACUGUGAGCUGGCCCUGCGUUGGAUUUGCUAGUUGGUGAGGGAAAGGCUGACCAAGGCGACGAUACAUAGCCGACCUGAGAGGGUGGUCGGGCAACCUGGGACUGAGACACGGCCCAGACUACGUCGGGGGGCAGUAGUAGGGAAUCUUCGGGAAUGGACGGAAGUCUGAACGAGCACAGCCGGGGGAGUGAAGAAGGUGUUCGGAUCGUAAAGCUCUGUUGUUAGGGAAGCGGUAACUAACCAGAAAGGGACGGCUAACUACGUGCCAGCAGCCGCGGUAAUAC